rnacentral:rRNA from 1 species
GAUGAACGCUAGCGGCAGGCUUAAUACAUGCAAGUCGAGGGGCAGCAUGACUGUAGCAAUACAGUUGAUGGCGACCGGCAAACGGGUGCGGAACACGUACAGAACCUUCCUUCGAGCGGGGAAUAGCCCAGAGAAAUUUGGAUUAAUACCCCAUAGUACAACGGAGUGGCAUCACUUUGUUGUUAAAGAUUUAUCACUUGAAGAUGGCUGUGCGGCUGAUUAGGUAGUUGGCGGGGUAACGGCCCACCAAGCCUGCGAUCAGUAACUGGUGUGAGAGAACGACCGGUGACACGGGCACUGAGACACGGGCCCGACUCCAACGGGAGGCAGCAGUAAGGAAUAUUGGUCAAUGGACGAAAGUCUGAACCAGCCAUGCCGCGUGGAGGAUGAAGGUCCUCUGGAUUGUAAACUUCUUUUAUAUGGGACGAAAAAAGGGUUUUCUAACUCGUCUGACGGUACCAUAUGAAUAAGCGCCGGCUAACUCCGU